rnacentral:rRNA from 1 species
GACGAACGCUGGCGGCGUGCCUAAUACAUGCAAGUCGAACGCAGUUUCGCACGGGUGAGUAAAGCGUCGGUAACUGCCUCAUAGCGGGGGAUAAAUAUUGGAAACGCUUGCUAAUACCGCCUACUGUUAGAUGGACCUGCGUUGUAUUAGCUAGUUGGUAGGGUAAAGGACCACCAAGGCCACGAUCCAUUGCCUACCUGAGAGGGUGAACUGCCACACUUGGACUUGUACAAGGCCCAGACUCCGUCGGGAGGCAGCAGGAGGGAAUCGUCGGAAAUGGAGGGAAGGCUUACCGAGGAACGCCGCGGGAGAGAAGAAGGGCUUCGGAGCGUAAAGCUCGGUUGAUAGAGAAGCGGUAACUAACCAGAAAGGGACGGCUAACUACGUGCCAGCAGCCGCGGUAAUAC